rnacentral:rRNA from 1 species
GAUGAACGCUGACAGAAUGCUUAACACAUGCAAGUCUACUUGAAGCACUUUCGGGUGUGGAUGGUGGCGGACGGGUGAGUAACGCGUAAAGAACUUGCCCCUUAGCCUGGGACAACUGUUGGAAACGACAGCUAAUACCGGAUAUUAUGAUGAGAUGGCAUCAUCUUUUUAUGAAAGCUAUAUGCGCUAGGGGGGAGCUUUGCGUCCUAUUAGCUAGUUGGUGAGGUAAUGGCUCACGAAGGCGACGAUAGGUAGCCGGCCUGAGAGGGUGAACGGCCACAAGGGGAGUGAGACACGGCCCUUACUCCUACGGGAGGCAGCAGUGGGGAAUAUUGGACAAUGGACCAAAAGUCUGAUCCAGCAAUUCUGUGUGCUUGAUGAAGGCCUUCGGGUUGUAAAGAGCUUUAAGUAGGGAAGAAGAAAGUGACGGUACCUACAGAAUAAGCGACGGCUAAAUACGUGCCAGCCGCCGCCGUAAGAC